UAAUUUAAUAUUUUGUUAACCAUAAGAAUAAUUGAAACUUGCCUAACAACCAACCAAACUUUUUACCUUCUGUUUUUGAGCUUUAAUCUCUUUUUGGAACAGUAUGUGUGAGUUCUUUUGACAAGAAAAUGCUCAGUGUGUAAGCGAGAAGGAGGCUGGGAUAGAACAUAAGGAAUCCAUUGGAGUUUAGUUAUUGAACUUUGAACAUGUAGGAGAUCUUGUGAAAGAACAAAUUUUGGCUAAUGUAAAUAGUUUCUUUUCAGAUUUUUUUAAUGACAAAAGAAAUUGGUGUUGCACUUCCAAGUCUGUUUAAUUUUAUUGAUACCUGGAAGUUGGUAAUUGCGUAGCUAAACUUUGCUUAGACUGAAUGUUUGAGAUACCAUGCUGAGUAUUCAAGUGCGUAUCUGGCACCUAGUGAUGCAAUUCUCAACAUUAGAUCUAAAACUUUCACCAUUGCUAACCUGUAUCUGACUUCACACUCUAGGGAUAUAUGUUGGCGAUGGAAUG
rnacentral:misc_RNA from 1 species